rnacentral:miRNA from 1 species
GGAUGUGGGAAGAUGUAUCCGUCAGCACCGUCUGGUAAUCCAAAGCUCCAAAGGGAAGAUUAAAGGCUCUACACUUGUGAGUAUUAUUCUUAUCACUCUUUUAUACUCUAUUUUAUCACAAUUGAGAGCAUUAAUGUUGCCUUUUAUCUUCCCUUUGGAGCUUUGGAUUACCAGACGGUGCUGACGGUUACAUCUUCCCACAUG